GCGGCCUCCGGAGGCGGAAAGGGCGCGGUGACGGGAUUGGUAAAUGAUUCAAGACGAGGCAAUAGUUGCUUCAGACGCUGGCUCGCGUUUGCCAUCUCCUCUCCGAGUUUAGGUGUUGGCACCAGGGUUAUAUUGACCACAUGGAGCGUUAUGAAAGUGUUCUCUUCUGUUUCCUAGGAAAGUUUGUAUUUCAGGUUCCUACAAGAAAUGUUCAAGGUACAAGAGCUAUCACUUUCUGAGAAGGUUGAAGAUACGGAUUCCAGCAAGAUUUUACCACGAUAAAAACAAGUGGAACAUUUUGUCAAGUCACCCAAGGACACUGUGUUGUAAAUACAUCAUUAGUUCUCUCAGCUUCUUCUACAAUAGACACCUGUACAUAUAUCUUGAUGAGCUUUUACAAGUGUGAACAUAGCUAAAUUUCUUGUAAUGAACUCCUAUGUAAAAAGGUAAGUGUGCCUUAAAUAUUAGAAGAUAUUGUCAAAUUUGUCUUCAAAAUCUUGUACAAAAGCACACUUUUACAGCGUCAGAGCUGGUCAGUAUUAGACUUGUGAAAUUUUUACCAAUC